AGUGAACGCUGGCGGUAGGCCUAACACAUGCAAGUCGAACGGCAGCACAGUAAGAGCUUGCUCUUACGGGUGGCGAGUGGCGGACGGGUGAGGAAUACAUCGGAAUCUACUUUUUCGUGGGGGAUAACGUAGGGAAACUUACGCUAAUACCGCAUACGACCUACGGUUGAAAGCAGUGGAUCUUCGGACCUUGCGCGAUUGAAUGAGCCGAUGUCGGAUUAGCUAGUUGGCGGGGUAAAGGCCCACCAAGGCGACGAUCCGUAGCUGGUCUGAGAGGAUGAUAAGCCACACUGGAACUGAGACACGGUCCAGACUCCUACGGGAGGCAGCAGUGGGGAAUAUUGGACAAUGGGCGCAAGCCUGAUCCAGCCAUACCGCGUGGGUGAAGAAGGCCUUCGGGUUGUAAAGCCCUUUUGUUGGGAAAGAAAAGCAGCAGGUUAAUACCCCGCUGUUCUGACGGUACCCAAAGAAUAAGCACCGGCUAACUUCGUG
rnacentral:rRNA from 1 species